CCCUUAGAUGUUCUGGGCCGCACGCGCGCUACACUUAUGCAUUCAACGAGUCCAACCUUGACCGAGAGGUCCGGGUAAUCUUUGAAACUGCAUCGUGAUGGGGCUAGAUUAUUGCAAUUAUUAAUCUUCAACGAGGAAUGCCUAGUAAGCGUGAUUCAUCAAAUCGCGUUGAUUACGUCCCUGCCCUUUGUACACACCGCCCGUCGCUCCUACCGAUUGAGUGUGUUGGUGAGGAGUUUGGAUUGGCCUCGGAAGGUGGUUCGCCACCGUCCGUAGCUGAGAAGUUCUCCAAACCGCCCCACUUAGAGGAAGGAGAAGUCGUAACA
rnacentral:rRNA from 1 species